GAUAAAAUCUAGCAAAGCCCAAUGAAAGAUCGCUCCAGGGUCUCCAAUGAGGUAGAUAGUAGCUCAGGACUGCUCUCUAGUUGUUGAUAGGAUGGUUUAGGUGCCUCAUAACAGCUGAAUCGAGAGGAAUUUCUUUA